UACCAGCACCCCGAGUGGUCGGGACGUUUAUUGGGCCUAAAGCAUCCGUAGCCGGUUCUGCAAGUCUUCCGUUAAAUCCACCUGCUUAACAGAUGGGCCGCGGAGGAUACUAUAAGACUAGGAGGCAGGAGAGGCAAGCGGUACUCAGUGGGUAGGGGUAAAACCCGUUGAUCCAUUGAAGACCACCAGUGGCGAAGGCGGCUUGCCAGAAUGCGCUCGACGGUGAGGGAUGAAAGCUGGGGGAGCAAACCGG
rnacentral:rRNA from 1 species